UAACGGGGCUAAACCAUGCACCGAAGCUGCGGCAGCGAACGUAUCACCCAAGACAACUUUACGGAGUUGACGAUUGACGGAGCGAAGCGACGUCAAAGCGUUCAUUAAAGUCGAGUUGGCUUAGGGAUACGUUCGUUGGGUAGGGGAGCGUUCUGUAAGCCUGUGAAGGUGUGUCGUGAGGCAUGCUGGAGGUAUCAGAAGUGCGAAUGCUGACAUAAGUAACGAUAAAGCGGGUGAAAAGCCCGCUCGCCGGAAGACCAAGGGUUCCUGUCCAACGUUAAUCGGGGCAGGGUGAGUCGACCCCUAAGGCGAGGCCGAAAGGCGUAGUCGAUGGGAAACGGGUUAAUAUUCCCGUACUUGGUGUUACUGCGAAGGGGGGACGGAGAAGGCUAUGUUGGCCGGGCGACGGUUGUCCCGGUUUAAGCGUGUAGGUGUGUGUUCCAGGUAAAUCCGGUUCACUUUAACACUGAGGCGUGACGACGAGGCACUACGGUGCUGAAGCAACAAAUGCCCUGCUUCCAGGAAAAGCCUCUAAGCAUCAGGUAACAUCAAAUCGUACCCCAAACCGACACAGGUGGUCAGGUAGAGAAUACCAAGGCGCUUGAGAGAACUCGGGUGAAGGAACUAGGCAAAAUGGUGCCGUAACUUCGGGAGAAGGCACGCUGACACGUAGGUGAAGUGAUUUACUCAUGGAGCUGAAGUCAGUCGAAGAUACCAGCUGGCUGCAACUGUUUAUUAAAAACACAGCACUGUGCAAACACGAAAGUGGACGUAUACGGUGUGACGCCUGCCCGGUGCCGGAAGGUUAAUUGAUGGGGUCAGCGCAAGCGAAGCUCCUGAUCGAAGCCCCGGUAAACGGCGGCCGUAACUAUAACGGUCCUAAGGUAGCGAAAUUCCUUGUCGGGUAAGUUCCGACCUGCACGAAUGGCGUAAUGAUGGCCAGGCUGUCUCCACCCGAGACUCAGUGAAAUUGAACUCGCUGUGAAGAUGCAGUGUACCCGCGGCAAGACGGAAAGACCCCGUGAACCUUUACUAUAGCUUGACACUGAACAUUGAGCCUUGAUGUGUAGGAUAGGUGGGAGGCUUUGAAGUGUGGACGCCAGUCUGCAUGGAGCCGACCUUGAAAUACCACCCUUUAAUGUUUGAUGUUCUAACGUGGACCCGUAAUCCGGGUUGCGGACAGUGUCUGGUGGGUAGUUUGACUGGGGCGGUCUCCUCCUAAAGAGUAACGGAGGAGCACGAAGGUUGGCUAAUCCUGGUCGGACAUCAGGAGGUUAGUGCAAUGGCAUAAGCCAGCUUGACUGCGAGCGUGACGGCGCGAGCAGGUGCGAAAGCAGGUCAUAGUGAUCCGGUGGUUCUGAAUGGAAGGGCCAUCGCUCAACGGAUAAAAGGUACUCCGGGGAUAACAGGCUGAUACCGCCCAAGAGUUCAUAUCGACGGCGGUGUUUGGCACCUCGAUGUCGGCUCAUCACAUCCUGGGGCUGAAGUAGGUCCCAAGGGUAUGGCUGUUCGCCAUUUAAAGUGGUACGCGAGCUGGGUUUAGAACGUCGUGAGACAGUUCGGUCCCUAUCUGCCGUGGGCGCUGGAGAACUGAGGGGGGCUGCUCCUAGUACGAGAGGACCGGAGUGGACGCAUCACUGGUGUUCGGGUUGUCAUGCCAAUGGCACUGCCCGGUAGCUAAAUGCGGAAGAGAUAAGUGCUGAAAGCAUCUAAGCACGAAACUUGCCCCGA
rnacentral:rRNA from 1 species